rnacentral:lncRNA from 1 species
GCAGCUGAACGUGACUGUGGCGUGCAGGAAGUGGAGCAUUGGCAUGAAGUGGCUCCCAGUGGCUGUGUGGCGCACGCCAGCUGCCCUCCUCUGACUCCACUGGUACCUGGAGGCCUGGCCUCACUGGUGGGAGAACACGGGUGUGAAGGCUGCUGGUGACUGGGCCAGCAUCCACUGUGAAGACCGGAGGGACACACCCCGCUGGCUGGAGUGCAGUGGCGCAACCUUGACUCACCGCAAUCUCCACCUCCUGGGUUCAAGUGAUUCUCCUGCCUCAGCCUCCCGAGUAGCUGGGAUUACAGAGUUUCAAGCUUAUUGCCCAGGCUGGAGCACAAUGGUAUGAUCUCAGCUCACCGCAAGCCCUGCCUUCCUGGUUCAAGCAAUUCUCCUGCCUCAGCCUCCCGAGUAGCUGGGAUUACAGGCAUGUGCCACCACACCCGGCUCAUUUUGUAUUUUUAGUAGAGACAGGAUUUCUCCAUGUUGGUCAGGUUGGUCUGCUUCGGCUUCCCAAAGUUCUGGGAUUACAGGAAUAAGCCACUGGGCCCGGUCAGUGCUGGUAUCUAUUGUUCUCUUCUUUGUGUCCAUGUGGACUCCGUGUUUCACUCCCACUUAUAAGUGAGAACAUGUGCUAUUUGGUUUUUUGUUUCUGCAUUAAUUCAUCUAGGAUAAUGGCCUCCAGCUCCAUCCAUAUUGUUGCAAAGGACAUGAUUUUGUUUUUUAUGUCUGCAUGGUGUUCCGCGAUGUAUAUGUACCACAUCUGAAAGCACAUUUUUCUAACUGAAUGUACAUGCUUAUCUUCAUGGUUUACGGUUCAUUGUUAACGUUUUUUGUCUGUUUUAUUGAACUGAUUGUGAAUGAGUUGGCAUUGGAUUGUCUUAUUUUGUUUUCAUAGAGCUGGGGUGCAGCACAGUGCUGGUGUUGAGUUGGUGAGUAGCAAAUGUUUGUUACGCAAAGGACACACAAAGGAGUGAAUGAGCUAGGGUGGUGGUGGUGUGAGUGUGAAGGGGAGGGUGGUUAUGGAAAAUGUCCAGGAAGUAGAAUUAUUGGCCAAUGGGAUGUAGAGGUGAGGAAAAGAGAGGAGUGAAAGGGGACUUCGAGAUUUCUUCUUUGGGCCUCUGGGAGAUGCCAUUCAAUAAGAUUGGGAGCCCAAGGAAAAAAAUAUUUGAGGAGACAAGAUAAUUUUAGCUUUGGACAUUUAGUUUUAAAAAUCUAUUAGCGCAUUGUGGCACACACCUGUGGUCCUGGAUACUUAGUAGGCUAAGGUGGGAGGAUCAUUUGAGCCCAGGAGUUCAAGUCCGGCUUGGGCAACAUAGUAAGACCCUAUCUCUAAAAAUUAAAAAAAAAUCCAUUAAACUCCUCAGAUAUAUUAGGCAUCAUGCUGGUGCUGGUGAUUCUGAGGCAAUAGGUCAGGAUACCUGAGUAAUUCAGCGUCUUGAGAAACAGAAGAAUGACAAUUCACUGUGUUAUAAGACAGGUGUGAGCAAAGUGCUGUGGUAGAUGAGGUGGCCAAGCUGCUCAUUCUGUCUGUAGGCACAGGGAUGACAGCUCUGAAUAACAUCUGAGCUGAAUCUUGAUGUCUUCCAAGACAAAAAAAGCCUUCCAGGUAGAGAGGAAAACAUACAUAGAAACACAGUGCUGAGAACAUCCUGUUUUUUUGUUUGUUUUUUAAGUUUAGUUUUAUUUUUUAAGAGAUAGGAUCUUGCUCUGUCACCCAGGCUGGGGUGCAGUGACGUGAUCACAGCUCACUGCAGCCUCGACCUCCUGGGGUCAAGUAAUCCUCCUGUCUCAGCCUCCUGAGUGGCUGGAAUUUCAGGCACACACCACCAUGCCCAGAUAAUUUUUAACAUUUUUUUUUUUUUAGAGAUGGGGUCUUACUAUGUUGUCCAGGCUAUUCUUGAACUCCUGGCCUCAGGCAAUCUUCCCACCUCAGCUUCCCAAAGUGCUGAGAUUACAGGCACGAGCCACUAUGCUUGGUGUGAGAACAUUGUGGAAUGCCUAGGGAGCAGGCAAAUGUUCAGCAUGGCUCUAGAGAAGGGGUCAGGUGUGCCAGGGGUGGGCAGUGAGGUGGACGAUAUCAGGGCUGCUUUGUGACAAGCUCAUCAGCCUGCCUAGGAAUUUGGUGUAUUUAUUGUAGCCAAUGAGGAGAUUUCGGAGCAGGUGGCGAACAUGAUCAGACUGGCUACAGGUCAGAUGGAGGCUGUUACAGUUGUCAGGUGUGGGGUGAAGACGGCAGGACUGAGGUGUGGGUGGGGCAGAGGACAGUAGGAGAUAGAUUUGAGAGGGCCAGAUUGAGGGAGUAAAGACUCUGGAUGUUCUGUACUGGGGCCCUGGGUGAAGGAGGGCAUGUCUAUAGGUCACCUACUGGAGUUAGCUAUGUGGAAAUACCUGUUGGAACAGCUCUAGAUUUAAGAAUAAACUUUUUAAUUUCAGAACCCCUUUAUACUCUUAAAAAUUAUUAAGAGUCUUUGUUUAUGUGGGUUCUAUCGCUGAAUAUGUACUUUAUUAGAAAUGAAAACGAAGAACUUAAAAAAAUUCAUUUAUUUCUACAUAAAUAAUAAACCAAUUACACUGACAUAAAUGACAUAUCUUCAUGAAAAAUAACUUUAUUUUCCAAAACAAAAAAAAA